GUAAUGAACAGUGGAUUGAACUUGUGGACUCAUGGAUGACCCCCCAAAAAAUGGAGGCAAGUCGAAAGAACAAAGAGAAUCGAGAUGAUGUAAAGUUCCACCAAACAACUGGCUCCUGUAGCUACCCAGUUUAUGUAGAAAAAAUUGAGAGAAGAUAAGUACAAGGAUAAAGAAUUUGAUGCUGUUGAUUUGUUUAAGAUGUGCCACUACAACAACAAAAAGAAAGGAUACACGCCCACUGUACAAUCUGCUAUU